rnacentral:rRNA from 1 species
GGUAUGCUUAGGGAAGAGCUUGCGUCACAUUAGUUAGUUGGUGGGGUAAUGGCCUACCAAGACGAUGAUGUGUAGCCGGGCUGAGAGGUCGAACGGCCACAUUGGGACUGAGACACGGCCCAAACUCCUACGGGAGGCAGCAGUAAGGAAUUUUCGGCAAUGGAGGAAACUCUGACCGAGCAAUGCCGCGUGAACGAUGAAGUAUUUCGGUACGUAAAGUUCUUUUAUUAGGGAAGAAAAGAUGGUGGAAAAACCAUUAUGACGGUACCUAAUGAAUAAGCCCCGGCUAACUAUGUGCCAGCAGCCGCGGUAAUACAUAGGGGGCAAGCGUUAUCCGGAAUUAUUGGGCGUAAAGGGUGCGUAGGCGGUUAAAUAAGUUUAUGGUCUAAGUGCAACGCUCAACGUUGUGAUGCUAUAAAAACUGUUUAGCUAGAGUUGGAUAGAGGCAAGUGGAAUUCCGUGUGUAGUGGUAAAAUGCGUAAAUAUACGGAGGAACACCAGAAGCGAAGGCGGCUUGCUGGGUCUUAACUGACGCUGAGGCACGAAAGCGUGGGGAGCAAACAGGAUUAGAUACCCUGGUAGUCCACGCCCUAAACGAUGAGUACUAAACGUUGGAUAAAACCAGUGUUGAAGUUAACACAUUAAGUACUCCGCCUGAGUAGUACGUACGCAAGUAUGAAACUUAAAGGAAUUGACGGGACUCCGCACAAGCGGUGGAUCAUGUUGUUUAAUUCGAAGGUACCCGAAAAACCUCACCAGGUCUUGACAUGCUUUUGCAAAGCUGUAGAAAUACAGUGGAGGUUAUCAGAAGCACAGGUGGUGCAUGGUUGUCGUCAGCUCGUGUCGUGAGAUGUUGGGUUAAGUCCCGCAACGAGCGCAACCCUUGUUGUUAAUUGCCAUCAUUAAGUUGGGGACUUUAGCAAGACUGCCAAUGAUAAAUUGGAGGAAGGUGGGGACGACGUCAAAUCAUCAUGCCCCUUAUGACCUGGGCUACAAACGUGAUACAAUGGCUGUUACAAAGGGUAGCUAAAGCGUAAGCUUCUGGUGAAUCUCAAAAAAGCAGUCUCAGUUCGGAUUGAAGUCUGCAACUCGACUUCAUGAAGUUGGAAUCGCUAGUAAUCGCGAAUCAGCAUGUCGC